rnacentral:lncRNA from 10 species
UGUCAGGUUUGUCCAAGAUCAAAUACUUGUAGGUGUGGAGUCUUAUUUCAGGGUUCUCUAUUCUGUUCCAUUGGUCUAUGUGUCUGUUUUAAAUUCUUUUGCUGAAAAGCAUUGAUAGUUUUAUGGUGCUAAAUUAUAUUCUUUGAAAAUAGGCUUUUGUUAUCAUAGACAUUUUAAUUAAAAUAUGUAAAAAGAGGUGUAGGAAAAAAGAGCCAAAACUAUUUUAUACGUCCUGCAGAAUGUCUCAUCUUUUUUAUUUCUUUUAAACUUCAUUAUCUUUUUGAUGACACAGUAAUUUUCUUUCCAUCUUUUAUCUCCAUCUUCAAAUCAUGUAAAAUUUUCAUUCUAUUCAUAUUAUUUCCAUGCUAAUUUUAAAUAAAACCAAUUAUUCUUCUUAUUUAUUGUUGAGGCUUCACUACGUCGCACACUCCCAUUCAUAUGAUAAAGUCUAACCCACAGGACCUCAGAAUGUGACUGUAUUUGGAUAUAAGAUCUUUAAGGAGGCAAUUAAAUUUAGAUGAGGUCCCUGAGGUGGACCCUAAUUCAGUAUCAGUGGUCUCAUUAUAAGAAGAGGAGCUAGGGCCGGUUGUGGUGGCUCACGCCUGUAAUCCCCACACUUUGGGAGGCUGAGGCAAGCAGAUCACUUGAGGUCAGGAGUUUGAGGCCAGCCUGGCCAACAUAGUGAAACCCCAUCUCUACUAAAAAUACAAAAAUUAGCCAGGAUGGUGCUAGGUGCCUAUAAUCCCAGCUACUCGGGAGGCUGAGGCAGGAGAAUCUCUCGAACCUGGGAGGCAGAGGUUGCAGUGAGCUGAGAUUGUGCCACUGCACUCUAGCACUCUAGCCUGGGCAAUAGAGUGAGACUCAGUCUCAAAAAAAAAGAAAAAAAAGGAGCCAGUACACAGAUAGGUAUACAGAGGAAAGACCAUGUGAAGAUACUGGAAAAAGGCCACUAUCUCCAAGCCAAGGAAAGAGGCUCUCAGAAGAAACUAACCCUGUCAACAUCUUGAUCUAGGACUUUCAGCCCUAGAAAUGAGAGUAAAUGAAUUUCUGUUGUUUAAACCACCUGGUCUGUGGUACUUUGUUAUGGUAGCCCUAGUAAACAAAUAUGCUUACCAUUUGGUAAAAAUGAUACUCCAGAAGGAUGUGGUACACUUAUCAUACCUUCAUUUAUCCUCAGUUAUACCACCAUAGUCUCCUAGGAGACAGAGAAAGAAAUAAGCAUACCUUGUUGCCUUCCUUGGAAAAAAGACUCAGUGUGGAAACAAAAAGAUAACAAUAUUUUGAGGCACUAUUCAAAAUGCACGUUAGGUUAACUAUCUAUACUAACUCGCCAUUGAUAGUAAUAAAUUUUUGGUUUAGAAAUUAAGACUAUCAUUAUCAGAAUUCUGUAUUUAUUCUUAAGCAGAUGCCUUGAUUCCUGUUUAAGGCUCAAGAGCGUGUACCAAGUAUUGCUGUCAGCCUCUUAGGAGUAGACUGAAGCCAAGAAACCUAGGUGAUAAGGAGAACAAUGCAACAUCCCUUGUGGUGAAAGGAGCCUUUGUUCAUUUAAGAUAAAAACCAUGCAAACAUCUGUGUACUUAUUUUCCUUACCAGUAAACAGUCAGAACAGAAUACUUCAUUUAAUAACUAAAUUCUUAUUUUUUUUCUGGGCUAAAUGCAAUGACCAUAUGUGUUGGCCACAUCUGUACCCUGAGUAUAGUGGAGACAUACAAAAAUAAAUCUAGUAAAUGGAAAGAUGAGAAUAAAAAUAUAGCCUGAAUUAAAAUAGUGUUCCGUGUUAUUAAAGUGAGUAAAUGUUAGUGCAACAAAUAUGAGAUAUGUCAUUUGUACAUUUUUAGCAAGCAUUCACAGACCUAAGACAUAAAUUGAUCAGCACCUCUCCAUAAUGGACUGAAAGAUCUAACUUUCCUGCAGACUUGGGAAAUUAUUCAGAAUAUAAAUAUAACAAUUUAUUUAUUGACUUUGCAUCCCAGGAAAUAUCAAGAAGAAUUGUCUGAUAUAAAUGUAGACCUUGGCCUUGCUAAAAUCAAUAUUUAUCUCUUGGGUCAAUCAAUUUAUUGACGUUCACCUCAAAGAGAAGUCAGUAUGUGUGUAAUAUCACUGUGGACAAAAUUUCAACAUAGAAAUGUUAUAAUGCUGAAUUUAGUUUUGUUUCCCUGAAAACUUGUUUGUCCUGUCUGAUUUUAUAUGGUCCUAUCAGGUUCAAAAUAAGAGAGUUUAAAUAUAUUAAAUAUUUUAGACUAUUGUUUCUCAUAUCACUUAGCAAAAGCAAAAAUUAUUGCCUUAAUGUUGUUUAAAAUUGAGUAAGUCCAAAGCAACUCUUACCAGUUUAAUUUCUUAUAGUGAAAUUUUCAUCAGAUGCAUAGAAAUCAUUUAAAGCUAUGAAUUGUAAUUACAAAUUUCCCAAAGAAACAAUGUCAUAAUUUUAAAAUAAGUAAGGGCAAAGAACUAUGGUGAGUAGAGGUAAAAACUUCUAAAAUUAUUUUAUAUGGCAAUCAUCAACUGGUUAAUUGUGGUAAUGUAGAAAAGCACACAUCACAUAUGAACACAGAAUUCAAGCUAAUGUCACAAGCUAACGAAAAGCAGCAAAUUUGCUGUCCAUCUACUUGACAUAUAUGUUAUUUGAGCUAAUCAUUUCUACUUUGCAGCUGAUGUCUACCUUCAUUACAGAAACUUAUGCCUGUCUUUAAAUAUAUUUGAUUUAUUUUCCCAGUACACUGAAUUCAUGUGUAUUUUUCUUUUUACAGUAGCAAACCAAAUAUAUUGAAUAUUUUUAUGUACUCUCCUUGCAACUAAUAUAUAUCUUGCUUAAACUAUAUAUGGCAAUCAUACAUAAAUAAUCACACAUGGUUGAUGAAUUGCCUGCUUACUUUUCUUUGCUGUGGAUAAUUCAAAUGUUAGCUGUAACAUACCUACCAAAACUUUCCAUCCCACUCUUUUCUAUGAAAUUAUAUUAAUUGUCAGGAACAAUCAAAAUAAAAAGGUUUGUAAAGGCAAAUUCACUCUCAAGAGAUUUUAUAUAGACAGAAUAUGAUAUAUAUUACCUAGGCCUACAGGUGAGGCCAAUGGAUUUGGCAUUUACUUUCAUAUUUCAAGCCAUAGGGCAGGAAUACAUUCACCAAGUUGAUUCAGAUCCUAAAGUUCUUCUUCUAUGCUCUAAUCUGUAAGACUGAAACAUGGCUAUUUCUUUCCUCCUUCUACUUCUUGUCUCUUGGCAAUGUGAUUGAAGUACAAGGAAAUCAACCCUCUUGACUUAACUAUGUGACUCACAUCCUACUUACUUACUGAUUUUGACCACUAGCUUAGCCCAAACUUCCUUCCUUUUAUUUUCUGUGGUUCACUUAAAUCCUGAAACUUGAGUGAUUUAAUAUUCAUGUUUUCACUGGGCUUGUGGACUAAUUAUAUAAUAAGUAACCUUCCCAAAAUAUAUUGGCAUAGAGAGCUAAAAUCCUUUUCCUGACACUUCAGACAUUACAAUAGUAUCUACAUGACAGAUAUUGUGCAAAUUAACUACAAUUGUCCUUUUC